UGUCUCUACGCUCGUGUAGCGGGAGGGAGCGCAGGUCGCGGCGGUGGGGACGCGCUCGCCAACAGCCGCCUUCUGCCAGCUCCAAAAGGUUUUAAGGUGAGGGGACAGGGACAGGCUCGCCACAGCUGCCUUCUGCCAGCUCCAAAAGAUUUUGAGAUGAGGGGACAGGGACACGCUCGCCAACAGACUCCUUCUACGAGCCCCAGAAGGUUUUCAGGUGAGGGGACAGGGACACGCUCGCCAACAGACUCUUUCUGCAAGCUCUAGAAGAUUUUCAGUUGAUGGGACAGUGACAUGGUCGCCACAGCCACCCUCUCCCAGCUCCAAAAUAUUUUGACUCUGCAAGCUCCAAAAGAUUUUGAGCCCCACUGAGCCCCUGGCCCAGCAGCCAAGGCCACCGCCGGCCGCACGACACGACGCGCUGCACGGGACGCUUUGAUCCGCUGACGCUGCUGGAGGUCGGCGGGCACUUCGCUGUUGACUUAAAUUAGUUCAGGUCGAAAAUUCUUGCAACAAGGGAAAUGUCAUCCUGAGGACUGGACAGGAUGUUAUGACUGAAGGGUAAUUGAGAGAGCACACAAACACACCCCCUAAUUCAUUCCAAAAGCAUGUUUUGUUACAAGCCAGUAUCGCAGCCCUCAGGGCCUGUGGUGACCAGGACCUCCUAACCCACAUCUGCCUGCCGAAGGAUUCGCCUACUCCCACUCGCUGUAGAGAAGCACAGAUUCAACUCUGAGAUGUGUUCUCACAGGAAAACUAAACUUCAACCUACAGCCAGGCUGGGGUAAGGGUAAAAGCCUGCAAACUAAAGAUGUAUUUUUUUAAAGCCAGAAAGAAAAAAGGAGCUCUUGUCCCUCAGCGUAUCUACCAAAGCUCCCCAGCUGAAAGGCAAGAUAAAUAUUCUGGUAUGUAUUUUUAGGAAGUAAGAUAAUGUUCUUCCUGUCACAGAAUUAGUUCUUACUUGCUUUCACUUUUAAUAGUGACUAUCUGGGGCAUUGUGAAAAUAAACACAGUACUUCAAGAGCUGA